CAGUCGCCACGGGAAAACGAAGGGUGCAAGCGUUAAUCGGAAUUACUGGGCGUAAAGCGCACGUAGGCGGCUUGGUAAGUUAGAGGUGAAAGCCCGGAGCUCAACUCCGGAGUUGCCUUUAAGACUGCCGAGCUAGUAGGUGAGAGAGGUAAGUGGAAUUCCGAGUGUAGAGGUGAAAUUCGUAGAUAUUCGGAAGAACACCAGUGGCGAAGGCGACUGACUGGACAAGUAUUGACGCUGAGGUGCGAAAGCGUGGGGAGCAAACAGGAUUAGAUACCCGCGUAGUCCCUGUCUCUUAUAC
rnacentral:rRNA from 1 species